UUUCACACUAUUCUGAAGAAAGAAACCUGGUGCACUUCUGAAACACGUAAAACAGAGGAGAAAGAGUGAGAGAAACUUUCCCCUUGCACCCUAGCCGUCACCGUCCCAAGCCCCACCACCGUCGACGUGUUCGCACAAGAGGGAGAAGGAGUUCGCGAGCGAGAGGGAGAGAGGAAGGUCACGCGUGGGAGAAGAGGAGAGAAACCAGAACCUUGCUCUUCAAUUUCAUCUUUUCUUCAAGCCUAAGGACAAAGAUGGUCGUGAAGAAAAUGGCGACGACUCAUUCUUGGGAGUUGAUGCUACGUGACGAGCCACUACAGAUGACGACUACACUUCUGAUGACGACUACACUUCUGAUGAAGAGGAAGAAGAUAAAGAGGAAGGGGCCAAGGAUAUGGUUGGGUUGUGAGACAUCCAUUUUUCUUUUGGGUUGAGAGUACCGAGUUUUGGAAGUAUUGAACCAUUACUUUAUUUUAGUUGAGAUAGUUUAACUUGAUGUAAUUUACUUUGAAGUUUUCUUCCGGAUAUUUAUUUCAUACUCUUUUCAAUGAUUAAUAAAGUUUGAGGUUUACGUUGA